CUUACACAUGCAAGUCGAACGGUAACAGGUCUUCGGAUGCUGACGAGUGGCGAACGGGUGAGUAAUACAUCGGAACGUGCCCAGUAAUGGGGGAUAGCUCGGCGAAAGCCGGAUUAAUACCGCAUACGCCCUGAGGGGGAAAGUGGGGGACCGCAAGGCCUCACGUUAUUGGAGCGGCCGAUGGCUGAUUAGCUAGUUGGUAGGGUAAAGGCCUACCAAGGCGACGAUCAGUAGCUGGUCUGAGAGGACGAUCAGCCACACUGGGACUGAGACACGGCCCAGACUCCUACGGGAGGCAGCAGUGGGGAAUUUUGGACAAUGGGGGAAACCCUGAUCCAGCAAUGCCGCGUGUGCGAAGAAGGCCUUCGGGUUGUAAAGCACUUUUGUCAGGGAAGAAAUCCUUUGGGCUAAUACCCUAGGGGGAUGACGGUACCUGAAGAAUAAGCACCGGCUAACUACGUGCCAGCAGCCGCGGUAAUACGUAGGGUGCAAGCGUUAAUCGGAAUUACUGGGCGUAAAGCGUGCGCAGGCGGUUGUGUAAGACAGGUGUGAAAUCCCCGGGCUUAACCUGGGAAUUGCAUUUGUGACUGCACGACUAGAGUGUGUCAGAGGGGGGUGGAAUUCCACGUGUAGCAGUGAAAUGCGUAGAUAUGUGGAGGAACACCAAUGGCGAAGGCAGCCCCCUGGGAUAACACUGACGCUCAUGCA
rnacentral:rRNA from 1 species